ACUCAAAGGAAUAGACGGGGGCCCGCACAAGCGGUGGAACAUGUGGUUCAAUUCGACGCAACGCGAAGAACCUUACCUGGGCUUGAACCGCUACUGACCAGCGGUGGAAACAUCGCCUUCCCGCAAGGGACAGUAGUAGAGGUGCUGCAUGGCUGUCGUCAGCUCGUGCCGUGAGGUGUUGGGUUAAGUCCCGCAACGAGCGCAACCCUUAGUCUUAGUUGCCACCCGCAAGGGGGAACUCUAAGACGACUGCUCCGGAUAACGGAGAGGAAGGUGGGGAUGACGUCAAGUCAGCAUGGCCUUUAUGUCCAGGGCUACACACGUGUUACAAUGCACGGUACAAACCGUCGCGAACCCGCGAGGGGGAGCUAAUCGGAGAAAACCGUGCUCAGUUCGGAUUGCAGUCUGCAACUCGACUGCAUGAAGCCGGAAUCGCUAGUAAUGGCGUAUCAGAACGACGCCGUGAAUACGUUCCCGGGCCUUGUACACACCGCCCGU
rnacentral:rRNA from 1 species